rnacentral:lncRNA from 1 species
UGGUCCGAAUUCCAAGUUGUAUAAAGCUUGUGAAGUAGAAACUGGAUACUCUUUUGAGAGAUAAAUCGAGCUUGGGAUAUACGUGGAUGAUAAGGAUUCCAAAUGUAUCAGCAUCGCAUCACUUCCACCUUGAUUUUUGUCUUCAGAAAAUCAAUUUGUUUAGUCUCCAAUGAUCACUGUUGCUGCCUCCAUGGAUUAAAAUCACUCACCAAUUGACAAUCCUAGUUAUAUAUUCCAUGCAUAAUGUAGGCUUAGACAAAGUAGCACGAGUCUAAAGAUAUAAAGAUUCUGUUCUUCCUCACACAUAACUUUCUGUUCCUGUCACAUUCAUUCCAUGUAAUUCACUCAAUUCUAGUUAGUUUACAGUUUGCAUACCAACUAUGGUUUAAACACUCCAAACUAGAUUUCAAUUUAACCAUACACACUUCUCAUAACUUUUUAUUGUUUGUGCAUAAACUAAGUUUUUGUUUCAUGAUAACAUGUUUGAUUUAUCUUACAUAGAUUAUUUG